GAAAAGUGUACGUCCCAUAUUUACCGUCGGCGAUUGGGAUCGGCAGCGGGCGAGGGCGUGAGAGGAGGGGGAGGACGGAGAAGAGAAGGGGUCGAGGAGGAGGACAGCGGCGGCGGCGGAGGGCAGGGUGAGCGGAAGCGGAGGAGGAGGAGAGUGGAGGAGGUAGGUGCCAGCCGGCACUCUCUCGGCCGCCUUCGUCCUAGGCGAGGCGGGCCUCGGGAGGGGAGGGAGAGCCAGCGGAGUCAGAGGAGGUGGAGGCGGAGGUGGUGGGGAGGAGGGGACGCAGGUGUGGUCCGAUCGUGCCGGGCUGGUGCGCGAUACCUACUCCUCCGGGAACGGGUCGGUUGGCAGCGAACGGAGAAGGAGAGUAGACCGAAGAAGAGUCUAAUCCGCGUCCACCAGCGGUACCCUCUCAUCCCGCAGUCCCACCCACCUCCUCAUUGCCUCCUACGGCUACCCCCCUCCUCGUCGCUCCGACCUCCAGUAGCGCCUACCGGAGUUGGUUGUCCGUCUCAGGAGGGGUCGGACCCGCGGCAGCUAGAGAGGGGUCGACGUAUCGAAGGAGACGACGGCUCAGGUCGCUCCCGUGGCAGCUAGAGAGGGGUCGGACCUACACUUCCGGUGAUGGUCAAAACUUCGACCAACUCCCCGUGGACCGUGAUAGAUGAAAGAUUCGAGACUACCGGUAACAUCUACCCCUUUAUUUCACUCCGAUAUGUCCUUCGACGAGUGUUUAAACUCCGUAGAGUAGCGAUGUUCCUACUGGAAACGGUGAGUUUCUUACAUAUAGAGCCAGUCAAAACGGUUUAUUACCUAUAUAAUGCACCUGGAUUGUAUCCGUUACGGUGGGUUCGUCGUUAUAUUCGUUAAGUAAACGUGGUAGCGACAAUGUUCCAACCCGAGACUGUUAGCCGCCACCAGCGCACGCCACCCGUAAAGUCCUCAAAACCACACCUAAUAUGUAUCAAUUUAGACUUACGUAUAUAAUAAAGCUCCUUCGCCUACGAUAGUUCUAGUACGGUUUCCGUCUCGUACGGUUUCCCGCUACGAGUAAGGGCAAGAAUCACUCUACCCAAAUGAACUACGUUUCAUACUCGUAACAUCUGAGAUCGCUCGACGACUUCCAGCUGCUCCUCCCGCGGCGGUGGUGGCAGUAGGACCAGGUGUAGGUGCGCGACGAGCCGCAGUGGUCCAGUGGCCGUGUUAGGAGUGCGGGUCAUAAUCAGAAAGUCACGCUUCCUUUUAUAGAGGAGGUGUCCUUACGGCCUUCUACACGAACACACCAUCUCCUGAUGGAACCAACCCUUGACUGUCAGAUCGAAAACUUCUGUGACUUUAUGUUCUCAACGAGGUACCCGUAUGCGUCCUACGAGGUACCUGGUGGAUGGUAGAACCACCUCUACCAACUUUGCUUAACUAGUAGACGUCCACAACAGGUGUAGUAACUCACGGGGACUAGUCAAGACUGGUGGAGUUGAAUGUUGUAGUGACGGAAAACACAUGUAUUCUUGACCGGUUCUACCAUCUCUUCUUCCCUUUAUAGAACUACCUCUCUAUACUCUACCCUUCUGACGACCCCGUUCCCUCGAAACGAUUUCAAAUGAUACCAGCAUCAGAGUUCUGAAGUGUCUCGCAACGGUAGUUCCACUAGCUGUUUCUCUUCUAGAAGUUCACACCCGAAUACCUAGUUCAUUCCGCUCUCUAUAGACAUUACUUCAACCACUUUGUAGGUUUGUAACAGGUUAACAUACUCCACUACCGGUGGUUUUGGUUCUAUAAAAAACACGAUCUCAUACACUUCCCCCCGCUCGACAAGUUGUUCCAAGUUGCUCCUUCCGACUUUCUUCUACAACGAGCGUUCAUGAAGGUUGUCGAGUUAUCACGCCAACUGAAGACAGUGUCGGCUCCGCAGAUAGUGGCACUGGACUUCGGACUUUUAGAAGAAGAACUACUCUUGGCGUUAAAUUUCUAGAGACUGAAACCAGACUCACGUGAACGUCUUACGUUCUCUGUUCUACCCGACUAAGUGUGUUGAACACCAUGGGGACGUAUACAACGAGGCCUUGACUAAUCAUUCUUUCCUAUACUACCACGUUUUCGACUGUAGACCCGAACACCUCAGUAGAACAUACAUAACAACCGACCAAUAGAGGGAAAAGUCCUGUUCUUAAACUACCUGUACAUAUUCUUCUAAAUGUUUCGUCUUGAGUUUACCGGUUCGACCAAAAGAAGUCUACGGGCCUCCGAAGACUCCGCAUAAGAACUAGGCUUGGGGCCAUGUGCCUAGAGGAAAAGUCUCUAGAACCUGUUAAGAACCAAGGCCUGUCCGGAACUGUUCCCUGACUAAUCGAUAUUGUGUGGUUGCCUCCCGUAACAACGACAACUGUACCUAGGCUGAACACUAGGUAAGUCAUCGACAUGUUGGCUCUGUUAUGUUCUUCGUUGUCUCGAGUGAUUGAACUUACGAAAACUGUAGUAAAGAGAAAGAAGACCCAAACUAGAGAGACCGUACAAACUCCUAUUCAGGUUGUUUCUCAGGUUUAAGUGUAGAUGGUUGUGUCGACGUUGUUAGUAGUGUUUCGAACUUCUAUAACGUUUCGCGAACGCCGAUUCUGAGUACUUCUCUCUGCCACCCAACAACUUCUACGUCUCGAACGUUGGCCCUUCCUUUCCGCAUUACAGGUAUCUAUGGCUCUAUAAAGUCUAACGUGGUUUAAAAGUAGACCACCUUUAGUCCUUCUGGUUACCACUAUGAGAGCUCAUAGUCUUCCAAUUUGUACUAUACUCUGGCCGAAACUUUCUGUAACAAACCCGAACCGUUCCACUCGUCGGGAUCAUUAUCACACUGAUGAUUCAUUCGCAUCUUCAACGUUCUUACACGUUACAAAUGUACAACCUUAGUUAUUACGUGAACAGAUUAAAAACAUCCAUCAAAUCACACAAGUGACAGUACAAAAAUAAUACUUUACGAUGAAGACAUAACUGGCAAUAAGUUAACUUUUGUACUGAUAAAAUUGAAACCAUGAACAAUGAUGAU
rnacentral:rRNA from 1 species